AACGAACGCUGGCGGCAUGCCUAACACAUGCAAGUCGAACGAUGCCUUCGGGCCUAGUGGCGCACGGGUGCGUAACGCGUGGGAAUCUGCCUUUCGGUUCGGAAUAACUCAGGGAAACUUGAGCUAAUACCGGAUAACGUCGCAAGACCAAAGAUUUAUCACCGAAAGAUGAGCCCGCGUAGGAUUAGCUAGUUGGUGAGGUAAAGGCUCACCAAGGCGACGAUCCUUAGCUGGUCUGAGAGGAUGAUCAGCCACACUGGGACUGAGACACGGCCCAGACUCCUACGGGAGGCAGCAGUGGGGAAUAUUGGACAAUGGGCGAAAGCCUGAUCCAGCCAUGCCGCGUGAGUGAUGAAGGCCUUAGGGUUGUAAAGCUCUUUUACCCGGGAAGAUAAUGACGGUACCGGGAGAAUAAGCCCCGGCUAACUCCGUG
rnacentral:rRNA from 1 species